rnacentral:rRNA from 1 species
CACGUAGGGGCCAAGCGUUGUCCGGAUUUAUUGGGCGUAAAGAGCGUGUAGGCGGCCAGACAGGUCCGUUGUGAAAACUCGAGGCUCAACCUCGAGACGCCGAUGGAAACCGUCUGGCUAGAGUCCGGAAGAGGAGAGUGGAAUUCCUGGUGUAGCGGUGAAAUGCGCAGAGUAUCAGGAAGAACACCCGUGGCUAAGGCGGCUCUCUAGUACGGUACUGACGCUGAGACGCGAAAGCGUGGGGAGCGAACAGG